CACACACACGAGACAACACACAACACCUCCCACGACACACACACGAGACGACACACAACAUCUCCCACGACACACAAAACGGCAGACAUGACACAGCCAGCCCCAAACUGACUCCCCCUCUAGCCUCUCCUCCUCUAGGCUUUGUCCCUAUCCUGGGCCAGGAGGUCACCGGAUUCCUUUGUUCUCCAAUCCUUUAGCUCUCAAGGGCCAGACCAUCAGUUGCCAGGAAAGAGGGUGUCGGCCAUUCUCUGUGUCCAGACCCCUGCACACACCCACCCUCUAGAGCUCUGCAACGAUCAUACACCCUUCUCCCACCACCUAGAUACUUAAGAACUGCAUAGGGGAAACUGAGGCACUCCCACACUAUUCAGAGGAAACAUGAAGAACAGUCCUGCUUUGUCACAGAUGACUCCAGGAGGUGAAUUGCUUGCUAUCUUACCAUGUUUCUCUCUUUCUCUCUCCUCUAGUAUGUUAGCCAACACACACACACUGCCUCUGUCUCUCUCUCUCCGUCCUUGCCUUUCCCAGUGCUGUCUCCCUUUGAAGGACACGGGCAGGCACACUAGGUGUGCAUCCCCAUAGGCUAUGUCUUGGAAGCCAAGAAGAAGUAGGAGAGGACGAAAAUCAUGCAGGGCAGUGCGUGCGAGCGUGGAGCAGUGACUGUCAGUGUUAACUGGAUCUCUCUUCAUCGAGUGGGGCCAAUGCAUGGAUGAGGGCAAGAUUUCCAGCACCAAUGGAGCUUUGUAUAAUGAUAGCUCAUGCUUGGCUUUUGCAGCUACUCUCGCAGAGGAAUUGUCCAGGAGCCUGAGCCAGAGGAGAAGUGGCCGAGGUGUACCUAAGCAGCUUGGACAGCCUUCUAAGCAGACGUGAAGAGUCGUCAGCUUUCUGUCUCCCGCAUAACUGGCUCUGAGUAAGCGGUCAGUGCUUUGAAUUCCUCAUCUGUGCUCGCUGCAGUAUUCUUCAGAGGCCGUGUGCUUCCUCUUUGGGUAUGGGGCUCUGUGAAAUUACAGCUGAUGAGGGGCCUGAGUCUGCUGUGCAGACUGAUUAUUUCAGGUGCCGUUGCAAGGGGUGUUUUCUAGUUGUAGUACUAAAGGCCUCAUGGUGGGGAGGGUUGGGGCAGAAUGCUGCUGUGCAGGAGAAGAAAUAGCCUAUGCCAUGUUGGCCACUGAGAUGGUAACUUAUUUGUUUUUCCUCCUCGAUCUGGGUUUAGUACAAACAGUUUACUCCCCUCAUCGGAUGGAAAGCGAGCAAGAGCAGUGAGCCCGCGAGCACUGUUGAUGUAAGCCAGGAGUCGUCCAGUUGGCAGUGGAGCAGUCGCUAAUGUAAAAGAAGUCCUGCUUCAAAAAUCCUGAGCAAACCUGCCAUUUGUUAAAACCAGGUAACUGUGUCUACAUAAAGGUCCAUCAACAAAAAACUACUCUGGCCGCAUGCUGGAAAGACCCUUAUUAAGUCCUGCUAACUACCAACACCGCUGUGAAGUGCCAAGGACUGACUGCCUGGACCCAUGCUUCUGACUGCAAAAGACCCCUCCACCUCGAGAUGACUUCACGUCGACUACUGAUCAGCCUGUCCCUCUUUCUGGGUUUUUUUUCUUUCCUCCUUUUGGACAGCAGGAAAAAAAAACAAGGUAAAGGUUCCUGGAUCCACCAUAGCUACGUUAAGUUGGCGCUGGGACUCCCACCUGACCCUGACAAGCCAUUGGACGAGCCACUUCACGAAUGAACACCACGACCAACGCAUGGACUAAGCUUUCCAGCUACUGGGACCUUCACAGCCCACCAGGACUUUUUGUGUUCCUGUUUAUUGGACUUACAUUGGGGGUAGUGUUUUUUGUAUGGUAUAAAGGAGAAUGCCGACAUUGGUAUGGUUUGCCUGGGGGGUUCCUCUCCCUAUUCCCAAGUCCAGUACAAGGAUGGGAGGGCAAUAGCUUCUUGAAUUUAACCCGUGCUGUCAAACAGGGUGUAAAUCGAACGCAGUGUUGGAUUGGUAUUCAUACCCCCACGUAUUUAGGUCAGGGGGUCCCGUUGGUAGGGGUACCUAUGCCCCUUAAUUGAACUCUCCAAACUAAGCUAUGGGCAAACACUACAUUUAACUGGAUGCUACAAUCCAAAUAUGGUCUAUUGAUAUGGUGGCCCAGGGCAAUUAUGCUUCCUGUGUGUCACGACGUAAGGGCAUAGAAAAUACAGUUUUUGUAGGGAAUUUUGUGGGGUGCAAGGACACCAGCCAAAUCAGCUCUGGUGCAGAAGGCCCCUCUACCUACUCCAGGACCCCGUGGCCAGUCCCCGAAGGGUCUGGCUGGUAUUGGUUAUGCAAUCACACAGCCUAUAAGGUUCUCCCAGCAGGAUGGUGUGGUACAUGUACCUUAGGGGCUAUAGUACCCGCCGUGACAGUACACCAGAACCUGACCCGGGGAGAGAUCCGCAAUCUAGUAUGGAGGGACAGACAAAGUAUUCCUUUAAACCCCCUUUCUCAACGGCCCAAAGGCUUUCACUCCUUUGUGUGUUGGUUUCUGCCAUGGUUGGGAGUAAGCGAGCUGAAAAAAGCUAUAGUUAACAUUUCAGCUGCUUUGAAACUAAUGGCAAAUGCUACUGCAGAUGCUCUAUCUGCCCUUCAAAUUGAAGUCACCCAGCUAUCCCAACCUACAUUGCAAAACCGCCUAGCCCUGGAUUAUCUCCUUGCAACUCAGGGCGGGGUUUGUGCUCUGGUCAACUCAAGCUGUUGUGUAUUUGUAAAUCAGCACCAUAGGGUGGAAACUGACAUCCACAUCCUCAAGCAACAGGCAGCCCUAUUCCACCACAUCAGCCUCGACACUACCAGCGCUGGAUUUCAGGAGGUCUGGGACGGGCUCACCUCAUGGCUACCGGAUGUGGGGACUUGGGGACGGCGUAUUUUGUAUUUACUUUUUUUGACUGUUAUUGUUUUUGCAUUAUUUUUUGUAUGCCUACAAUGCUGCAGUAUGUGCUGUCGGCAGUUGCUAACCCUGCAGCGCGGUUACUCAGCCCCAAUAUAGCUUACUGAUGUACAAAAAGAAAGGGAGGACUGUUAAGGAAAAGUUAGGACAUGUGACUCCAUUUUGGUUUGGGGCCCACCAUUGUUUAAAUGCCAGCACAUCAUACACCAAGAGGAGUGAUCCUUAAAUACUGAA